AUACGCCAUCUCCUUCCUCCAUUCAACCGCCAACCACAACACCCCCUUCCUCAUCGACGCCGCCACCUCACCUACUCCACCUUCAUCCGCCACAUCGCCUCUCUCUCCGCCUCCGUGAAAUCCCUCAUCUCCUACAACGACGUCGCACUCAUCCUCUCCCCGGCCUCCCUCUGCAUCCUUGUUCUCUACUUGUCUCUCCUCUCUCUAGGAGUCGUCGUCUCCCCCUCCAACCCGCUCUCCUCCCCCGCCGACUUCACGCACCAAAUCUGCAUCAGAACAGAGGUGGAUCGAUGGGGUUGCAGAUUGUGGUGGGUUUUCAUGGAGGGGAUUUUCAGGAGAAACACUAUGAAUUUCUAUAAAUUGAAGGGGUUUUUUUCUUUUUGAAGAAAGGAAAUCGAUUCAUAAAUGCUUUGAAUUUGUAGAAAUUUGGAGAAAGCAAAUCGAUUCUUUUUUUCUUUCUUUCAAAAAGGGAUUUUUGUGGAGGAACACUAUGAAUUUGUAGAAAUUGAAGGAAUCGAUUUACAGGAGAGGAAUUUGAAAUUUGAAUCGAUUGUGUUUGUGUUAUGCCUUUUCUGUGAACAAGUUUGAGGAUUGGACGACGAUGCUGAACUUGAGGUUCUGGGACGGAGGCGGGAGAGGGACGGCGGUGUGUGCUGAGACGGUGGUGGUUUGUGUGCUAAGAUGGCGGCGGGAGAGGGACGACGGUGGACGGUG
rnacentral:lncRNA from 1 species